UAUAUCUUGGUGUAUGGUGCACGUUGGUUUUUGGUGCUGUAGGUAAUAGUUUGAUUCUGUUAGAUGUAA
rnacentral:tRNA from 4 species